GGGGCGGGAAGUGGUCUUCAGCUACUACCUUACCAAUAGUGGAUUGGGGGUUCGACUCCCCUCCGCUCCA
rnacentral:tRNA from 1 species